rnacentral:rRNA from 1 species
UACGAAGGGGGGCUAGCGUUGCUCGGAGUUACUGGGCGUAAAGGGUGUGUAGGCGGUUUUUCUAAGUUUGGUGUGAAAUCUCCCGGCUCAACCGGGAGGGUGCGCCGAAAACUGGGAGACUAGAGUGCGGGAUGGGAGAGUAGAAUUCCUGGUGUAGCGGUGAAAUGCGUAGAUAUCAGGAGGAAUACCGGUGGUGUAGACGGCUCUCUGGACCGCCACUGACGCUGAGACACGAAAGCGUGGGUAGCAAACAGG